CUCUCGGCAACGGAUAUCUAGGCUCUCGCAUCGAUGAAGAACGUAGCGAAAUGCGAUACUUGGUGUGAAUUGCAGAAUCCCGCGAAUCAUCGAGUUUUUGAACGCAAGUUGCGUCCGAAGCCAUUCGGCCGAGGGCACGUCUGCCUGGGUGUCACGCAUCGUUGC
rnacentral:rRNA from 1 species